UGCCUAACUGUUUGAGGCCUAUGCCUCGCUCGUCUCCUCCUCCUGCCUCUUGGGAUGGUGGCAUUGUUGACGAUUAUCACUGAAGUAUCAGAAUGGUGAAGUUUUGGUUCCUCCAAAUUAGCUUUCCACAAUGCAAUCAGUGUACGUGGUUGGGCAUCCUGUGAACUGGAAUAUAUGGCAAGCUCCAACUUGAAAGGCCUAAUAGGGUGACGGGAACCAAUUGGUAAGAUAACUGCCCAAACUUUUCUGGAAACAAACCGAGGGGCUAGCACUUCUAGAAAUCCUGGCCCAUAGAAUUC
rnacentral:misc_RNA from 1 species